rnacentral:misc_RNA from 1 species
UCCGGUUUGUACCGGCGGUCCCGCCAGACAUAGGAAUUGACGGGGGCCCGCACAAGCGGCGGAGCAUGUGGAUUAAUUCGAUGCAACGCGAAGAACCUUACCUGGGUUUGACAUAUACCGGAAAGCCGUAGAGAUACGGCCCCCCUUGUGGUCGGUAUACAGGUGGUGCAUGGCUGUCGUCAGCUCGUGUCGUGAGAUGUUGGGUUAAGUCCCGCAACGAGCGCAACCCUUGUCCUGUGUUGCCAGCGCGUAAUGGCGGGGACUCGCAGGAGACUGCCGGGGUCAACUCGGAGGAAGGUGGGGAUGACGUAUAGGAGCUCGAC